rnacentral:rRNA from 1 species
UACGUAGGGGGCAAGCGUUGUCCGGAUUUAUUGGGCGUAAAGAGCGUGUAGGCGGCUGGGUAGGUCCGUUGUGAAAACUCGAGCUCAACCUCGAGACGCCGAUGGAAACCCUCCAGCUAGAGUCCGGAAGAGGAGAGUGGAAAUUCCUGGUGUAGCGGUGAAAUGCGCAGAUAUCAGGAAGAACACCCGUGGCUAAGGCGGGUUGACUGGGCUGACACUGACGCUGACAGCGCGAAAGCUAGGGGAGCGAACGGG